rnacentral:rRNA from 1 species
CAGCAGCCGCGGUAAUACGUAGGUGGCAAGCGUUGUCCGGAAUUAUUGGGCGUAAAGGGCUCGCAGGCGGUUUCUUAAGUCUGAUGUGAAAGCCCCCGGCUCAACCGGGGAGGGUCAUUGGAAACUGGGAAACUUGAGUGCAGAAGAGGAGAGUGGAAUUCCACGUGUAGCGGUGAAAUGCGUAGAGAUGUGGAGGAGCACCAGUGGCGAAGGCGACUCUCUGGUCUGUAACUGACGCUGAGGAGCGAAAGCGUGGGGAGCGAACAGGAUUAGAUACCCGGGUAGUCCCUGUCUCUUAUAC